CUGUUACCGGACACAUCCAAGACAUGGAGAGCUGUACACUGACCAACUUCGUUCGGAAGAUAUUGCAAUUUAUUAUCACGCAAGGAGAGCACGCCCAGCUUCAGUAAAUUGCCUGUUAUCGAAAAAGCAUACGUUUGAACUCC